GUCUACGGCCAUGCUACCCUGAACAAGCCUGAUCCCAUCUAAUCUCAUAAGCUAAGCAGGGUUGGGCCUGGUUACUACUUGGAUGGGAGACCACCUAGGAAGACCAGGUGCUGUAGGUG
rnacentral:rRNA from 1 species